GAGCCACCGGAAUUUUGCUGGUAGUAGCCAAAGUUCUUGCCACCGUUGCUUAUACAGCCGAAGACGAACAGCAGAGAAGAACCUUCUUGGAAACAAGACAGUCUUUGGAGGUCAAGCUGGUGAUUGAAGAGCAAAGCGCUGAGCAGGAAAGGCUGCUGCUCUCGGUGUUGCCAGAGCAUGUGGCUGUGCAGAUGAGGAAGGAUUUGGAUCAAGCCGAUAGCCAGUUUAAGAAAAUCUACAUGAGCCGCCACGAAAACGUUAGCAUCCUCUAUGCGGACAUUGUCGGAUUCACCGCCAUUUCUUCCACGUAUUCCGCUCAAGAAUUGGUGAAAAUGCUCAAUGAACUGUUCGCUAGAUUCGAUAAGCUUGCAGAGGUAAGAUGUAG